GAAUCUUCCACAAUGGACGAAAGUCUGAUGGAGCAAUGCCGCGUGAGUGAAGAAGGUUUUCGGAUCGUAAAACUCUGUUGUGAGGGAAGAACAAGUAUGAGCGUAACGGCUCGUACCUUGACGGUACCCCAUUAGAAAGCCACGGCUAACUACGUGCCAGCAGCCGGGGUAAUACGUAGGUGGCAAGCGUUGUACGGAAUUAUUGGGCGUAAAGCGCGCGCAGGCGGUCCUUUAAGGCGGAUGUGAAAUCCCACGGCUCAACCGUGGAAGGUCAUUGGAAACUGGGGGACUUGAGUACAGAAGAGGAAAGCGGAAUUCCAAGUGUAGCGGUGAAAUGCGUAGAGAUUUGGAGGAACACCAGCGGCGAAGGCGGCUUUCUGGUCUGUAACUGACGCUGAGGCGCGAAAGCGUGGGGAGCAAACA
rnacentral:rRNA from 1 species